rnacentral:rRNA from 1 species
AGAGUUUGAUCCUGGCUCAGAACGAACGCUGGCGGCAGGCCUAACACAUGCAAGUCGAGCGCGCCUUUCGGGGCGAGCGGCGGACGGGUUAGUAACGCGUGGGAAUAUACCCUUUGGUACGGAAUAGCCUCUGGAAACGGAGAGUAAUACCGUAUGAGCCCUUCGGGGGAAAGAUUUAUCGCCAAAGGAUUAGCCCGCGUUAGAUUAGGUAGUUGGUGGGGUAAUGGCCUACCAAGCCUACGAUCUAUAGCUGGUUUUAGAGGAUGAUCAGCAACACUGGGACUGAGACACGGCCCAGACUCCUACGGGAGGCAGCAGUGGGGAAUCUUGGACAAUGGGGGCAACCCUGAUCCAGCCAUGCCGCGUGAGUGAUGAAGGCCUUAGGGUCGUAAAGCUCUUUCGCCUGUGAAGAUAAUGACGGUAGCAGGUAAAGAAACCCCGGCUAACUCCGUGCCAGCAGCCGCGGUAAUACGGAGGGGGUUAGCGUUGUUCGGAAUUACUGGGCGUAAAGCGCACGUAGGCGGACUGGAAAGUUGGGGGUGAAAUCCCGGGGCUCAACCCCGGAACUGCCUCCAAAACUAUCAGUCUAG